GGAAGGUAAUUUAUUGGACUCUUCUUAUCAUAUUAGAAAUUCAAAAACAAUUCUCUACUGAGCAACAUUUAAAGAAGAAUACUGCAGAUAUCGAAACGUUGAUGUCAAGAUGCGGCGGCAUGGGUUACGGUUGAAUUGGUAGACCUUAAGUGUAUAAAAGAAGUCAAGACAAGAACCCUAGUCAGAAUAUAUCUUGGCAUGCAUCUCUCAUAGACGCAUACGGAUAGCUUCUACUAGCGCUAUUUUAGUGGUUUGGAUAUUUGAGAUCAAACUCUGCCAUAUUACCACAUAACUUACCUAAAUCUGGCGUGUCGGUGAACGUGAUGGUUGUCACGGGAUCGAACAGGGACCAAACCAGAAUCUGCAAGUAAAAAACAAGUUCAGUUGAGAUCUUGCCAGUCCCGGCAAUACAGAAGAUACAAAUGGAACUUACGGUGUUGUCGCCCCGGUUCAACAAUGGAGCUGGAAUGUAGAGAGUUUUCGUGGGGCCGAUGCCCGAAUAGCGACCGACAUUAAAACCAUUCACAAAGACGACGCCUCGGUUACCAUCGCCCCAGCCAGUAGUCGUGAUGUACGUGUCGGUUGGAUCAUCAGCAAUCGUCAAAGUCGACUUGGUAAGUGUAGGAGAAAUGACGGUCGUUGGUGGAGCUGGAGAAGCAUUCCAGUUUGUCAAACUAUUAAAAUAAUCAUUUACUAAGUACAAUAGGU